rnacentral:rRNA from 1 species
CAGCCGCCGCGGGAAUACGUAGGUGGCGAGCGUUGUCCGGAAUUAUUGGGCGUAAAGGGAGCGCAGGCGGACAUAUAAGUCCAUCUUAAAAGUGCGGGGCUCAACCCCGUGAGGGGAUGGAAACUGUAUGCCUUGAGUGCAGGAGAGGAAAGCGGAAUUCCCAGUGUAGCGGUGAAAUGCGUAGAUAUUGGGAGGAACACCAGUGGCGAAGGCGGCUUUCUGGACUGUAACUGACGCUGAGACUCGAAAGCCAGGGGAGCGAACUGGAUUAGAUACCCGAGUAGUCCCUGUCUCUUAUACA